rnacentral:rRNA from 1 species
CGAGCGCAACCCUGAUUUCCAGUUACCAUCAUUUAGUUGGGACUCUGGAAGGACUGUCGGUGAUAAACCGGAGGAAGGCGGGGACGACGUCAAGUCAUCAUGGCCCUUAUGGGUGGGGCCACACACGUGCUACAAUGGCCUACAGAGGGAGCACUCGCGAGAAGGAGCAAUCCCAAAAAGUCUCAGUUCGGAUUGUUCUCUGCAACUCGAGAGCAUGAAGUUGGAAUUACUAGUAAUCGUGGAUCAGAUGCCACGGUGAAUACGUUCCCGGGCC